rnacentral:tRNA from 2 species
GCGCGAUUAGCUCAGGGGGAGAGCACUACCUUGACACGGUAGGGGUCAUUGGUUCAAAUCCAAUAUCGCGCACCA